CCUACGGGAGGCAGCAGUAGGGAAUCUUCCACAAUGGGCGCAAGCCUGAUGGAGCAACACCGCGUGAGUGAAGAAGGGUUUCGGCUCGUAAAGCUCUGUUGUUGGAGAAGAACGUGCGUGAGAGUAACUGUUCACGCAGUGACGGUAUCCAACCAGAAAGUCACGGCUAACUACGGGCCAGCAGCGGCGGUAAUACGUAGGUGGCAAGCGUUAUCCGGAUUUAUUGGGCGUAAAGCGAGAGCAGGCGGUUGCUUAGGUCUGAUGUGAAAGCCUUCGGCUUAACCGAAGAAGUGCAUCGGAAACCGGGCAACUUGAGUGCAGAAGAGGACAGUGGAACUCCAUGUGUAGCGGUGGAAUGCGUAGAUAUAUGGAAGAACACCAGUGGUGAAGGCGGCUGUCUGGUCUGCAACUGACGCUGAGGCUCGAAAGCAUGGGUAGCGAACAGGAUUAGAUACCCCAGUAGUC
rnacentral:rRNA from 1 species